rnacentral:lncRNA from 1 species
CCCAUCCUCUCUUGCCCUAGUGCCUUUCUUGGUGGAGCCCACAAGAAGCCACUGCCAGCCGGGUCACCUGCACACCCAGUCCCAGCAUCCCUGACCUCAGUGUGGACAGAUGGAUAGAAAGAGGAGAGGCAAUGACUGACUCUGCCACUUCCUAACUGUCCCACUUCUGGAAGUUUCCUUAAAUUAACAUCUCUGAAUCCCAUCCACGAACUGGCCUACUGCUGGUCCUACAGUUGGUUUGGGCGCUCCCUUCUUUUCCCUUCCCUUUCCCCUUCCCUUCCAUCCCCUUCCCUUCCUUCCCUUCCCUCCCCUUCCUUCCCUUCCCUUCCUUCCCUUCCCUCCCCUCCCUUCCAUUCCCUCCUCCCUUCCCUUCCCUUCCCUUCCCUCCUCCCUUCCCUUCCCUUCCCUCCCCUUCCUUCCCUUCCCUUCCCUUCCCUUCCAUUCCAUCCCCUUCCCUUCCUUCCCUUCCCUUCCCUUCCAUCCCCUUCCCUUCCCUUCCAUCCCCUUCCCUUCCCUUCCAUCCCCUUCCCUUCCCUUCCAUCCCCUUCCCUUCCCUUCCUUCCCUUCCCUUCCCUUCCCUUCCAUCCCCCUUCCUUCCCUUCCCUUCCCUUCCCUCCCCUUCCCUCCCCUUCCCUUCCUUCCCUUCCCUUCCUUCCCUUCCCUUCCCUUCCCUCCCCUUCCCUUCCCUUCCCUUCCCUCCCCUCCCCUUCCCUUCCAUUCCAUCCCCUUCCCUUCCUUCCCUUCCCUCCCCUUCCCUUCCCUUCCAUUCCAUCCCCUUCCCUUCCAUCCCCUUCCCUUCCCUUCCAUCCCCUUCCCUUCCCUCCCCUUCCUUCCCUUCCAUCCCCUCCCCUCCCCUUCCCUUCCCUCCCCUCCCUUCCCUUCCAUCCCCUUCCCUUCCCUCCCCUUCCCUUCCCUUCCCUUCCCUCCCCUCCCUUCCCUUCCCUUCCCUUCCCUUCCCUUCCCUUCCAUCCCCUUCCCUUCCCUUCCCUCCCCUCCCCUUCCCUUCCCUCCCCUCCCCUUCCCUUCCCUCCCCUUCCCUCCCCUUCCUUCCCUUCCCUUCCAUCCCCUUCCCUUCCCUUCCCUUCCUUCCCUUCCCUCCCCUUCCUUCCCUUCCCUCCCCUCCCUUCCCUCCCCUUCCUUCCCUUCCCUUCCCUUCCUUCCCUUCCCUUCCCUUCCCUUCCCUUCCCUCCUCCCUUCCCUCCCCAUCUCUUUUCUCAUUUGGAAAGUGCUCAAGUAAAGUACCAGGCUGCAGGACUCUAGAGCCAUAAAACAGGGCAAGGAUGCGGUCGCACCCCCACAGCCCACUCCCCAAGCCACUCCCCUGCUUUUGUUUUACUCAUAGCCAAACUCCAGUGAGUCCCUUGAAAAUUCUUGUGUGAUGUCCUCUCUCCCUACUAGAAUCUGAGCUACAGAAGGACGGGGAUUUCCAUUUGUGUCCUUCUCUUGCGAAAAGAAC